rnacentral:piRNA from 1 species
UGAAGAAAAAUGCAUGAUCUGCCUUCCAAC